GCCUGAUCUGCAUCCUCACGGCCCUGCUGCCUCGCCGCCGCCCUGCUGACCCCAUCUACCUCGCCGCCGCCCUGGUCUUCAAAUCGCGGCUGCCCCACUUCAACCUGCCCGUCGCCAGGUCCAGCACACCGUCGCCGCCGGCCGGGAGAGGGACUUGGUGUUGUAAAACUAUUCUGUACGGCGGCGUACAAGCUAGUCAUGCGGGCUGCGGCGGCUAACGACGCUGGUUGACCAUCUCCUGUGCGUGCAGGGCAACAUCGACGCUGGACCAGAUGGACGAGCUGCACUGCCAAACUGGGAGAGGAAUAGACGCUCCAGCAGUAGUGGUAUUCUCUAUGCAAUCAAACAAGAAGCAUUUAGUGUUGUUUCACCGAAUCAAAAGAGACCAAAAUCAGACCACAUAUGAUUGCAGAUUAUGCGUGUGUAUGUGGAGAAGAUAACUGGGUCGAUUGAUUUGAUGUUAAUUUGUUUGCUUCACUCUGUUUAUUUAUGGCUACGACGACGGCGGCGGCACACGAGAUAAGCGGAAGCCGGGUUCGGAGCCACCGACAGUGUCUUCCUUGGAUUCAUUCGUGCAAUAAGGAGGGGACCCGGCCUUCUUCACGUGUCGAGCAACAAGGGUGAUCGAGGAGGAUUACCGUGGCCCGGUGGGUGUCGUGCUCUUCAACCACUUGGAGGUGGACUUCACCGUGAAGCUCGGUGACUACUGCACAGAGAUGAUCAUCCAGGUGAUCGUGCCGUCGGAGGUCGCCGAGGUGGAGGUCCUCGACGCCACCGUCCGGGGGGAGGUCCACUAGCGUCUGAACUCCAAACCUUGGUUGAUACAUUUAGAGAAGUGGUUUGUUUAGGUUGGUGGUGGAAUACUUUCAGUUGAGAUGAUGGUUGUGUUCGUCUGAUGUUAAAUGGGAUGUCGUGAUUUCUUUCAAUUGAGAUGUUGUUCCUUGACAUGA